rnacentral:lncRNA from 1 species
GGGAGUCUGCCUAGCUAUUCUGGAGCCUACACGUGGUCACCUGAAGCUGGCUCCAAGGAUGAUUUGGUGGGAAUGGGCUUCCCCUCUCCUUUAUAAAGUGUGUCUGCCAUUAAAAAUUUGAACCUUGAGCAGACUAGCUUGUCUUGGUUCCAUUAUUUCUCUACCUGCCUAGAUUCCCUCUUCUCUUCCAGUUCCGAGAUGCCUCCCAGGCUCGAACCCGGACAUGAGAGCCGCAGGCCGGCCCCAACCAUUUGGCGAACCAACUUGGGACUUAGGAAUGGCAGAGGACAUUUGGAAGAAACACUGCUGGUUUGGAGCUCCAUGGAAGAAGAAAAGAAUUAAAGAAAAUUCAUACCGGAGAAGGAAACACAGAGACAAAAAAUGGAGCAGACUGAAGGAAAGGCCAUCCAGAGACUGUCCCACCUUGUGAUUCUUCCCAUCUGCAGACACCAAACCCUGACACUAUUGCUGAUACCAAGACGUACUCCCAGACAGGAGCCUAGUAUGGCUGUCCUCGGAGAGGCUCUGCCAGCAUCUGACUAAGAUAGAUGCAGCUCCUGGAUUCUAUGAUGUUCUUUUAGAAGUAUGUAGCUGCCUCUUGUGGAAGAUAGACAUGCAUGUUCUGACAGCUCAAAGAAAAAAUUAUUUAUGGAGAAUUGUUGCCAAACAGCCUGCUGUGGCUCUUAGAGCAUUUCUGUGUAUCUGUUGAGCCAGGCAGCUGCCCUGUCAUGCAGACUGAAUGUUUAAGUGCAUUGUGGUUGGCUUUGGUGGUUUGUAUGAAAAUAGCCUUUGUAGGCUCAUUUGGUGUGGCCAAGCUGGAGGAAGUGUGUCACUACUGGGGGGUGGGCUUUGAGGUUUCAAAUGCUCAAGCCAAGCCAAGCCAAGUGUCCCUCUUUCUUCCUGCUGCCUGUCAAUCCAAAUGUAGAAGUCUUAGCUACCUCUCCAGCAUCAUGUCUGCCUUCAUGCUGCCAUGCUUCCUACCAUGGUAAGAAUGGACUAAACCUCUGAAAUGUGAAGCCAGCCCAAAUAAAAUGUUUUCCUUUUUAACUGUU